rnacentral:rRNA from 1 species
AAAACUUUCAACAACGGAUCUCUUGGUUCUGGCAUCGAUGAAGAACGCAGCGAAAUGCGAUAAGUAAUGUGAAUUGCAGAAUUCAGUGAAUCAUCGAAUCUUUGAACGCACAUUGCGCCCUGUGGUAUUCCGCAGGGCAUGCCUGUUCGAGCGUCAUUA